AACGGGUGAGGAACACGUGAAGAAUCUGCCCUCCACUUGGGAUAACUCCGGGAAACCGGGGCUAAUACCGAAUAUGAAAUAUAAGUGGCAUCACUGAAUUUGAAAGAAUUUGGUGGAGGAUGACUUCGCGGCCUAUCAGCUAGUUGGUGAGGUAACGGCUCACCAAGGCAACGACGGGUAGCCGGCCUGAGAGGGCGACCGGCCACACUGGGACUGAGACACGGCCCAGACUCCUACGGGAGGCAGCAGUGGGGAAUAUUGGGCAAUGGGCGCAAGCCUGACCCAGCGACGCCGCGUGAGGGAUGAAGGUCUUCGGAUUGUAAACCUCUUUCAGUAGGGAAGAAGCGAAAGUGACGGUACCUAAAGAAGAAGCACCGGCUAACUAUGUGCCAGCAGCCGCGGUAAUACAUAGGGUGCAAGCGUUGUCCGGAAUUAUUGGGCGUAAAGAGCUCGUAGGUCGUUUGUCGCGUCGAUUGUGAAAAUCUGAGGCUCAACCUCAGACCUGCAGUCGAUACGGGCAAACUAGAGUGUGGUAGGGGAGACUGGAAUUCCUGGUGUAGCGGUGGAAUGCGCAGAUAUCAGGAGGAACACCAAUGGCGAAGGCAGGUCUCUGGGCCAUAACUGACACUGAGGAGCGAAAGUGCGGGGAGCGAACAGGAUUAGAUACCCUGGUAGUCCGCACCGUAAACGGUGGGCACUAGUUGUGGGAACCUUCCACGGUUUCCGCGACGCAGCAAACGCAUUAAGUGCCCCGCCUGGGGAGUACGAUCGCAAGAUUAAAACUCAAAGGAAUUGACGGGGCCCCGCACAAGCAGCGGAGCAUGCGGCUUAAUUCGACGCAACGCGAAGAACCUUACCAAGGCUUGACAUAUAGCGAAAAGUGGCAGAGAUGUCAUGUCCGCAAGGGCGCUAUACAGGUGGUGCAUGGUUGUCGUCAGCUCGUGUCGUGAGAUGUUGGGUUAAGUCCCGCAACGAGCGCAACCCUCGUUCUGUGUUACCAGCAUUUAGUUGGGGACUCACAGGAGACUGCCGGGGUCAACUCGGAGGAAGGUGGGGAUGACGUCAAAUCAUCAUGCCCCUUAUGUCUUGGGCUGCACGCAUGCUACAAUGGCCGGUACAAGUGCUGCGAGAUCGCAAGAUUGAGCGAAUCACAUAAAGCCGGUCUCAGUUCGGAUUGAGGUCUAAACC
rnacentral:rRNA from 1 species